UACCUGGUUGAUCCUGCCAGUAGUCAUAUGCUUGUCUCAAAGAUUAAGCCAUGCAAGUCUAAGUACGAGCUCUCGUACAGUGAAACUGCGAAUGGCUCAUUAAAUCAGUUAUGGUUCAUUUGAUCGUACAGUUUACUUGGAUAACUGUGGUAAUUCUAGAGCUAAUACAUGCGAGAAGCGCCGACCUCGCGGGAGGCGUGCAUUUAUCAGACCAAAAACCGGCCGCGUCUUCGGGCGCGUUCGCCUUGGUGACUCUGGAUAACUUUGCGGAUCGCACGGUCUAGCACCGGCGACGGAUCAUUCAAGUGUCUGCCCUAUCAACUUUCGUCGGUACGGUAUUUGCCUACCGAGGUUCUUACGGGUGACGGGGAAUCAGGGUUCGAUUCCGGAGAGGGAGCCUGAGAAACGGCUACCACAUCCAAGGAAGGCAGCAGGCGCGCAAAUUACCCAUUCCCGACGCGGGGAGGUAGUGACGAAAAAUAACAAUGCAGGACUCGUUCGAGGCCCUGUAAUUGGAAUGAGUACACUUUAAAAGCUUUAACGAGUAUCCAUUGGAGGGCAAGA
rnacentral:ncRNA from 1 species